GAAAUGCGAUAAGUAAUGUGAAUUGCAGAAGUCAGUGAAUCAUCGAAUCUUUGAACGCACCUUGCGCUCCUUGGUAUUCCUUGGAGCAUGCCUGUUUGAGUAUCAUGAAAUCUUCAAAGUAAAUCUUUUGUUAACUCAAUUGGUUUCUACUUUGGUAUUGGAGGUCUUUGCAGCUUCACACCUGCUCCUCUUUGUUCAUUAGCUGGAUCUCAGUGUUAUGCUUGGUUCCACUCGGCGUGAUAAGUUAUCUAUCGCUGAGGACACUGUAAAAGGUGGCCAAGGUAAAUGCAGAUGAACCGCUUCUAAUAGUCCAUUGACUUGGACAAUACUUUUAUGAUCUGAUCUCAAAUCAGGUAGGACUACCCGCUGAACUUAAGC
rnacentral:misc_RNA from 1 species